rnacentral:rRNA from 1 species
GACGAACGCUGGCGGCGUGCUUAACACAUGCAAGUCGAACGGAAAGGCCCUGCUUUUGUGGGGUGCUCGAGUGGCGAACGGGUGAGUAACACGUGAGUAACCUGCCCUUGACUUUGGGAUAACUUCAGGAAACUGGGGCUAAUACCGGAUAGGAGCUCCUGCUGCAUGGUGGGGGUUGGAAAGUUUCGGCGGUUGGGGUUGGACUCGCGGCUUAUCAGCUUGUUGGUGGGGUAGUGGCAUACCCAGGCUUUGACGGGUAGCCGGCCUGAGAGGGUGACCGGCCACAUUGGUACUGAGAUACGGCCCAGACUCCUACGUGAGGCAGCAGUGGGGAAUAUGGCACAAUGGGCGGAAGCCGGAUGCAGCAACGCCGCGGGCGGAAUGACGGCCUGCGGGUUGUAAACCGCUUUCGCCUGUGACGAAGCGUGAGUGACGGUAAUGGGUAAAGAAGCACCGGCUAACUACGUG